UUUCUUUGCUGGCGACCGGCGCACGGGUGAGUAACACGUAUCCAACCUGCCCUUUACUCGGGGAUAGCCUUUCGAAAGAAAGAUUAAUACCCGAUAGCAUAAUGAUUCCGCAUGGUUUCAUUAUUAAAGGAUUCCGGUAAAGGAUGGGGAUGCGUUCCAUUAGGUUGUUGGUGGGGUAACGGCCCACCAAGCCUUCGAUGGAUAGGGGUUCUGAGAGGAAGGUCCCCCACAUUGGAACUGAGACACGGUCCAA
rnacentral:rRNA from 1 species